AAACCAGCACCUCAAGUGGUCAGGAGGAUUAUUGGGCCUAAAGCAUCCGUAGCCUGUUCUGUAAGUUUUCGGUUAAAUCCACUAGCUCAACUAGUGGGCUGCCGAAAAUACUGUAGAACUAGGGAGUGGGAGAGGUAGACGGUAUUCGGUAGGAAGGGGUAAAAUCCUUUGAUCUAUUGAGGACCACCUGUGGCGAAGGCGGUCUACCAGAACACGUUCGACGGUGAGGGAUGAAAGCUGGGGGAGCAAACCGGAUUAGAAACCCGAGUAGUCC
rnacentral:rRNA from 1 species